UGGUGUGUGACUGCCAUUCCAGCUACUGAGGCAAAAGAAUCCCUUGAGCCCAGGAGGUCAAGUCCUCAAUGAGCUAUAAUCAUGCCACUGCACUCCACGAAAGUUCAGCUUUGCUGAAAUUAAGACUCAUAAAAAGUAGAAAGAUAUAAAUGGAAAAGAUAAUUUAAAGCAAAUCAUUAGCUUUCUUAAAGGCAAGCUAAAAAGUAUGCAAUUUAUUAUCUCCUGUUCUCUGCCUUCUCUACUAUCACCCAUUCUGUUGCUUGGGUUAUCUAAGGCACCACCCUUGAUU
rnacentral:lncRNA from 1 species